UUUAUUAAGAAAGCGAAGUGUGGGCAAUGAUUAUGUCAUCAUCUUCUGUUUUAAUAAUAGUGAUUAAGUUAAACUAAACAUGGCCUAAGUGUGAAAUUGACCCUUUUUUUUAACCCAAAUUGACCAUUUUUAUUUAUUUACUCCGUACUUAUUUAUUUUUUUGGAUUACUGUGGAUUAAUUUUAGAAUUGGUACCCCAGUAGUGACUUCAAUAGCGUGCUAAAAAUUUUCAGGGUCAAACCCAAUCAGCAAUUUCCUUUAGUUUUACAUUUUGUCUCUUCUUUCCAGAUUCAGAGUCUUGCUGCAUCUCAGAAACUACUACAGAGUUGUCAUAAAAGGUACUGAUGAACCUGUUGCAUAGCUGGAUAAGCAGUAACUCUGAUAGUAGCCAAAAGCUGGUGGUACUUCGGAAUAAAUGGGAUCGGCUUUGUGCUCGGGAAAGUGAUGUUCGUUUAGAACUUGAGAAUGCUGAAAUCCAGCCAGGAAAGAAACGGAAAAGAGAGGUUGAUGUUUGGCUCAGACAUGUAGAGUUGAAAAGAACUGAGUUUGGAAACAUAAGCAAUGAAGCCAAAGAACACGGAUUCCGUUCUCAGCUCACUAGGCGUGUUGACAUGCUAACUAAAGAGAUUGAAGACCUGCUUGAGCAUGGUAGGUUCCAGAAUGGACUUCUUUUGGAUGAUAGCAAUAGCAGGCGUGUUCCGUUAGUGGUAACAGAUUUAGUUGGAAAAAUGCUCGAAGUGACUGCUGACAAAAUAUCAUUGUGGUUGAAAAAUGAUGAUGUGCUUAUGAUUGGGGUGUAUGGAAUGGGUGGUGUGGGAAAAACUACGUUGUUGAUGCACGUACAUAAUCAACUCCUUCAUGAUUUUAGAAUUUCCGGGCAUGUUUAUUGGGUUACUGUGUCACAAGAUUGUAGCUUGUACAAGUUGCAGCACAACAUUGCAAAAGCAAUUUGUCUUGAUCUUUCCAUUGAAAAAGACGAUAAGAAGAGAGCUGCCAUUCUCCAUAGUAGGUUAGCCAACAUGGGACCAACCAUAUUCAUCCUAGAUGAUAUGUGGAAACACGUCUCAAUAGAGGAUAUUGGUAUCCCAGUUGGAGCAAACAGUUGCAAGGUCAUAUUAACCACUCGCUUAUUAGAGGUAUGUCGAAGAAUGGGAUGCAAAGAAGCUGUUGUUAAACUAGAGCCUCUUGCAGGCAAUGAAGCCUGGAAGUUGUUCAUCGACAAGCUUGAGAAUUAUGAAGCACUCUCUAUGGGAGCAAAACAGAAAGCUGAACUAGUUGCUAAAGAAUGUGGUGGUUUGCCACUUGCGAUUAUUACAAUGGCAUGUAGCAUGAGAGGAGUAUAUGACAUCUUUGAGUGGCAAAAUGCUCUGGCUGAAUUGAGAAAUCCUGUCCAUAGGCUGGAAGAUAUGGAAAAUGAUGUACUACAGAAACUGAAAUAUAGUUAUGAUCGCCUGAAUGAUGAAAAAGUCCAGCAGUGUUUCUUGAGUUGCAUAUUAUAUCCGGAAGAUUAUCCCAUAUGGAGAGGGGGAUUAAUAGAACAUUGGGUUAUGGAGGGAUUGUUGGAUGACAUAGAAAGCAGGCAAGAUCAAGUAAACAAGGGAUACACUAUACUAAAAAAACUGGAAAAUGCUUGUUUACUUGAAUCAGCCUUUGGGCCUGACUGCGUUGAGUGUGUGAAGAUGCAUGAUGUGAUAAGAGACAUGGCGAUUCUCAUUACUCAAAACCAUCCUCGCUUUAUGGCUAAACCUGGUUUGCAGAUUGAACAAUUACCUGGAGAAGGACAUUGGAGCGAGGAUCUAGUCAAGGUGUCCUUGAUGGAUAAUAAGAUAGAGGAAAUUCCUUAUCAUAUGUCACCUAGAUGUCCCAAACUCUCAGUGUUGUUGCUGCAUAAGAAUCCUUUGAAAGGAAUCCCGGACUCUUUCUUUGUGCAUAUGAGCUCACUAGCAGUCCUUGAUUUAUCUGCUACUAAAAUUAAGAGGCUUCCAAGUUCUGUUUCUGAUCUUGAAAAUCUUAGGCUGCUUUUACUUCGAUUUUGUGCCAAUCUAAUUUACGUACCCUCACUUGCCAAGCUUAGGAAACUAAGAGUAUUAAAUCUGUAUGGUACAGGGAUAGAAGAAGCACCAUUAGGAAUGGAAGGUUUAAGGGAACUGGAGGAGGUAAGUUGUGGAUGGAAAUUAUCACAUGUGGAUGCUUUUAACAAGUACAUAGAAUCCCAACACUUUCAACAGCUACACUGCUACGGGUUUUGGCUUUAUAAACAGGGUGGAGACUCCGAGGGACCAGGUAGGUUAUUGAACAAGGAAGUGGUGAUCUCAGGAGAAGAGUUCAGGAAAAAGGAACCUGCCCCUUGGCUUCCACAUGAUAUGCAAUUGCUGGAGAUUGACAAGUGUAGUACGAAGGAAAGUAGAAGCCUGGAAGAUAUUUUCCCUUCUCUUUAUAAAGCUAAGGAGCUGAAGAAUUUGCAUGUCCGUGAAUGUACAGGUUUGGAGUACAUAUUGUCCGGCACACAAGAACAUUCUUCUCCCUCUGUCUAUCCUCCUCUUGAAACUGUGGAAUAUCUUGAACUAUUUGAUCUAUGUGAUUUGAAAGGACUGCUUGAAUUAGGUGGAGUAUCACCAUCUGGGAUAUUUUCUCAUCUGAAGAUCUUGAUGAUUGAAGCAUGUUCAAGAAUCAAGAUGUUAUUUCCCCUCAAUCUGUUUGAGCAGGGGCAGAUCCUUUUCCCAUGUCUUCAACAGAUUCAUGUUGCUGGGUGUGCGGAAUUGGUGGAGAUAUUUGCUGUAGCCAAUAAUUGUUCAGCCAUCGCUGCCCUUGAGAAUGCCUAUCCUACCAAUUUUUUCCUUACUCUUCCCAGUUUAAGGGUUUUAAAGUUGUGGGAUCUACCGAAGUUAAGGUGCAUAUAUAGUGGGCUAAUGUUUUGUACCAGUCUUCAAGAAUUUUGUGCAGAUGAAUGCCCAAAGCUGGAUAUGUUGCCACUCUCGAUAGCUUUUCUUUGUGAUUCCUCUCCUUCUUCUUUGGAUUCUCUUCCCAACAACCCACAUUGGUGGCAAUGGUUACGGAAAGAUCAUCCCCAUGAUGCGAAUCAACUUUUAAGUCUGAUUAACAGACCACAGUCAACAAAUGCUGGAUGUAUCCAGCUUAAUCUUCAUGGCUCAGCAUAAGUCCAUACAAGACAAAUAGACAAUGAGUGUAUGUCAUUUGUUUCAAGAUGCAAGAAGUUUGGGUUCCAAAACUUGCUGCACAACUGUUAACUUCCAGAAAAAGGUCUUGAAGCUUGCCCGUACAAGGUGAUUACUGGAGUUGCAAUGAAAGAAGCUUUUGGCAAAUUGUGGGCUACCAACUUAGAUAACGAGCUGAAAACUUUUAGGAGUAAACUAAACCACCUCACUGCUCUUGAGUCAGAUAACCUCUCAAUAUUAAUGAUUGCAGUAAUACAACCAGGAAAGAAGCAAAGAAAAGAAGUUGAGUUGUGGUUCACACAUGUAAAAGAAAAGAAGUCAGAACUUCAACUGAUUGACACUGAAUUUAGAGAGCAGGGUCCUAGUAGAAAUCUUAAGAGCCACAUCGAAAAAGAAACCAAAGAAGUUGAAGAACUCACUCAGCAGGGAAAGUUUCCUUAAGGAGUUGUACUGGAUGAUCACGAAAGCACGAGAAUUCCAAUGGUCACAACAAGGACAAGUUUAUUGGCUGCAUCACGAGAUUGUAGCCUUGAAAAGUUGCAAUAUGAGGCCGGGAAGGUUGUAGGUCUUGAUCUGUCACGGGAAGAUAAGGAGAGGAAGAAGGCUUUAUUAUUUCAGAGAUUCUGUGAGAUGAAAAAAAAUCUGUGAUCAUCCUAGAUGACUUGUGGAAGCAUUAUCUUCCAGAGCAAGUUGGCAUUCAACUUGACUCGUAUGGUUGCAUUACUACCCGCUCUUUGGAUGUUUGUCAUAGAAUGGGCUGCCAAGAGAUCAUUAAAAAUUGAACUCCGACUUAAAGAUGCCUGGAAAAUGUUUACUAACUAUAGGGUUAUACCAAGUCAUUUCAAUGAUUUAGCAGCAGAAGUUUUUGAAGAAUGUGGUUUAAUGCAUUGUUUCUGCUCAAUUCGAUAUGGUGCUUUUAUGGAUGUCACUCCAUUAUUUUUUUUACUUCUCUGAAGUGGAUUGCUCUUGCUUACAGUUUUACCUUGACUAAAUAAUCACUUUUUUACUCAUGAAGCCACCAUAUGUGUUGGUUGUGAAGAGCCUGCUGUUCUUGUACACAGUAUUGGGGCUGUAUUUCAUAAUUACUGUGACAGAUAACAUAACCAAUAGUAGGAACUAAGUUUGGGCUCCGCCACUGUUAGCCUUUGGAAAACCUCAAAGACCAUUACAUUUCUUUUCACCCUUUCCUCUUGAAGAUGCCAGUAUUCAUGGUUCAGCAGAAGUACACACAGCACAACAGAGGCUUGGAGGGUUUGUUUAAAUAAAGAAAACGGCUGUAUCGUAUGUAUGCCAUUAAUGUUAAAAAAAAAAAGCUUCAAUUCCAAAACUUGCUGCACACUGUUACCUUCAAGAAAAGGGUCUGAACUAUGAAGCUCGCCCAUGAUAAGGUAGCAUACUUUUACUAUUUUAUGAAAAAACCUGAAGCUUCUGGUAAUCUGGUUCACUUUCUAUGCUCCAUUGCUUCUAUUCCCAUUGACCAACUGAUAGAAAAAUGAAGUAUGAGGUUCAGAACUGUCUGCCAGUGUCGCAUUGUUUUUCAUUUGUUGACUCAUUUACAGAAGAAUAACAUUGCAGAAUCUACCUACUGUCAUGAUAAUCAUUAAGCAGGCAUUUCCAUCAUAUUUUAAUAGAUUUUGUGAUUACGGCAUACUUUGAUUUUUUUCUCAGUUAGUAGUUAUUACUACUAUGUUUAUAAAUAGAUUUUAUUUCUACUGUAAUAUUAUCUCUGAAGUACAUAAAGUUGUCUCCCAGCUAGAGAUGUCCA